GUGCUUGCUUCGGCAGCCCAUGUACUAAAAUUGGAAUGAUACACAGAUUAGCCUGACCCGUAUGCAAGGAUAAUGCACAAAUUCAUGAAGCAUUCCAUAUUUUU